UCCAGAAUGCCGCUGCUCGCCUCUUGACUGGUACUCGUAAGAGGGAGCAUAUAACUCCUACUCUGGCAUCCCUUCACUGGCUCCCCAUUCAUUUUAGAGUUAUUUUCAAGAUCCUCCUUUUUGUUUUCAAAUCUCUGAAUAAUCUCGCACCACCUUACCUCUCUGAGCUCAUCCGCCCCUCCACACCUGCCCGGCGCCUCAGGUCUGUGGACCAGUCUUUGUUAGAAGUACCAUGAACUAAACUGAGGCUCAGAGGGGAUCGAGCCUUUUCUGUUGCUGGUCCCUCUCUCUGGAAUGACCUCCCACUGAACAUUCGGCAAGCCUCCUCGCUGCCCAUCUUCAAAGCCCUCCUCAAAACUCACUUGUAUUCUUUGGCAUUCGACUCAGCAUGACUUAGAUUUGUUCUUGAUUUUACUGUUUGGUGCUUUCUACCGCCUUUAUUACCGAUUUGUCUUACUGUUUAUUGUGCAUGUUAAAUUGCUCCAUGUACAGCACUUUGUAUGCAGCGAUGGCUGUUUGAAAGUGCUCUAUUAAUACUGUUGACUUGACUUUACUUGUUGACUUAUCUAUAGAGAGAGGUACACUCAGCUAAGAGGACUCAAGUUCUAGUUUUGCCAUUUCUUAUUACAAAGUACAAUGUGUCUUGCUGUACCAUCAUUACAUCACAGCUGUGAUGUAAUGCAACUCCCACCAGCCAUCAAUCACUUCUAAUUGUGAGCGGGGUGGGGGUUGAAGCAAAUGGUUUAUAGCACCCUAUUAUUAAUUUUUGAGGGUGGUAGGUAAAAGGAUUGCGUUGGUUGAAAAAAAAUACAGAGACGUUGCUGCAUAAUGAAGUAGAUUAAAUUCAAUGUUAAGAGGAAAAAAAUGAGGAGUUGGCCUUGUGGCAAAGACUUAGGGUGAGGAGAAAAAAACAGAGGAAUUGGAGGAUGGAGGGCAUUUGUGAAAAUGGUCAGAGGUGAGUGUGAUGUUAAAAUAGAGGAAUGGAACAGAGUGUCUUGGGAUCUGCCACUGAGGGAAUAAAGAAAUCAAUGACUGAGAGGUCCAGCGACAAUUGGGAGGUUACAGAGGAGAAAAAGGAAGCCAGACAACAUGGCUGCCUCGCAGUGGAAAUGUACCGAUGUUGGAUAAUUGGAUAAAAGAGACUGGUGUUUUGGACUAUAAAGGGCCGCAAAUGGUGUUUAUGUGGAGGACAGGAGCAACCACUGUAGGAAGAAGUGGAGCAAUAAGCUGUAAAGCCUCACCUGUCAAAAAUAAUGGGGGGUGGAGAAGCUGCAAGCCAGCAACAAUAGAAUGGAAAGAGAGAUAGAGGGCACAAAGCGAGGUUAAGAGUGAAGCUGAGCUGAGGAGGCAUCAUGGAAGAAAAAUGUCAGCCCGAGAGGAGAAAACAAUGACUAAAAAAGGAACCAGAAGAUACAGGGGGAAAAAAGAAAAUUUUUAACAGGAUAAGACAAUUUCAUUUCCAGUUUCGCAUUGAGCAGUGUGACGCCUGGAUGGAAUUCACCAUAAGUGCGUGGUGCCCUCACACUUGAAAUCCCAGGCUACCUGAGAAGGCGGAUUAUCAUGAUCAUCAUUAAUAAGCAAAAUGCCAGCAACCCUAAGCUUGUCUGUAUCUAAUAAAUCCUCCCUGAUCCACACUGGAGUGUAAUUAAUACAGAUGGUGGAGGGUGGGGUGGUGGUAGAAGGUUAGCUUCAGCUGGGCAUGAGUUAAUAAGGAGGGAGUGUCGAGCUAUGAAAACAGACUAACGAGUCUCAUCUCUCUCUCGCUUUUCAAGUAGAGACCAAAAUGUUAUCAAAACACUGAGCAAAUGAUUUAAUACCUAACAAUUUAUGGAUUACAAUACACCAACAUGGGCUGACCAGCGGUCAGUCUGACUUGAGCGGUCAAAACAGUCAAGAGGGCAAUUACAUAUCAUUUGUAUUGUACAGUUAAUUUCAUCAGCCUUCUUUUUAAGGUGUUAAGAAAAAGUAUUGAUGAUUUUUGGGGUGGCCAGCAGCCUUUGAUCUCACAGAAUAUAUCAAGCUGUGCAUUUACCAGCAAGUGAAUCCCAUCUCCACAUUCAGAACCAAAAAAAGAAAAA